rnacentral:rRNA from 1 species
AGAACGAACGCUGGCGGCGUGGAUAAGACAUGCAAGUCGAACGCGAUUUAUCAGGUUAGCAAUAACUUGGUAGAUUGAGUGGCGAAAGGGUGCGUAACACGUGGGAAUUUACCAAGAAGUGGGAAUAGCUCGACGAAAGUCGAAUUAAUACCGCAUGUGAUCGAAAGAUCAAAGUCGGGGACCGCAAGGCCUGACGCUUUUUGAGAAGCCCGCGGCCCAUCAGCUAGUUGGUGAGGUAAUGGCUCACCAAGGCUAUGACGGGUAGCUGGUCUGAGAGGACGACCAGCCACACUGGAACUGAGACACGGUCCAGACACCUACGGGUGGCAGCAGUCGAGAAUUUUUCACAAUGGACGAAAGUCUGAUGGAGCGACGCCGCGUGGAGGAUGAAGGUUCUUGGAUUGUAAACUCCUGUCACUGCAGAACAAGGGUACGUUCGUUAAUAGCAAACGUAUUUGAUGGUAUGCGGAGAGGAAGGGACGGCUAACGUCUGCGCCA